rnacentral:rRNA from 1 species
UACGUAGGGGGCUAGCGUUGUCCGGAAUCAUUGGGCGUAAAGCGCGUGUAGGCGGCCCGGUAAGUCCGCUGUGAAAGUCGGGGGCUCAACCCUCGAACGCCGGUGGAUACUGUCGGGCUCGAGUGCGGAAGAGGCGAGUGGAAUUCCUGGUGUAGCGGUGAAAUGCGCAGAUAUCGGGAAGAACACCCGUGGCGAAGGCGGCUCUCUGGAACGGUACUGACGCUGAGACGCGAAAGCUAGGGGAGCAAACGGG